rnacentral:rRNA from 1 species
UACAGAGGGUGCAAGCGUUGUUCGGAAUUAUUGGGCGUAAAGCGCGCGUAGGCGGCCCUGUUAGUCCGCUGUAAAAGUCAAAGGCUCAACCUUUGAAUGCCGGUGGAUACUGCAGGGCUAGAGUCCGGAAGAGGCGAGUGGAAUUCCUGGUGUAGCGGUGGAAUGCGUAGAGAUCCGGAAGAACACCGGUGGCGAAGGCGGUCUGCUGGGCAGUUGCUGACACUGAGGCGCGACAGCGUGGGGAGCAAACAGGG